UGUAAAAGGGUCAAGCCUCGAAGGAGGGG
rnacentral:sRNA from 1 species